AUGGCGGAUGUCGACUUGAAUAUCGACAAUCUGAUACAGAGAUUGUUGGAAGUAUACCACACGCAGAAAGACCAGGUUCAGAAGAAAGCCAAGCUAAAAGAUAUUUUCUCGUCGGACUUUGUCGUCAGAGGAUGUCGGCCGGGCAAGACCGUUGUCAUGACGGAGGCCGAGGUACGUGGCCUCUGUCUGAAGUCGCGGGAGAUUUUCCUGCAACAGCCGAUUCUGCUGGAAUUGGAGGCGCCGCUUAAGAUCUGCGGCGACAUACACGGCCAAUAUACCGACCUGCUGCGGCUCUUUGAGUACGGCGGCUUUCCGCCCGAAGCGAACUAUCUGUUCCUGGGCGAUUACGUUGACCGAGGGAAGCAAUCCUUGGAGACAAUAUGCUUGCUGUUGGCAUACAAAAUCAAAUAUCCGGAGAACUUCUUCUUGCUGCGCGGCAAUCACGAAUGCGCUAGUAUAAACAGGAUAUAUGGCUUUUACGACGAGUGUAAGCGGCGGUAUAACAUCAAGCUUUGGAAGACCUUCACAGACUGCUUUAACUGCUUACCGAUCGCCGCGAUUAUCGAUGAAAAAAUCUUCUGUUGCCAUGGCGGACUCAGUCCUGACCUGCAGGGAAUGGAGCAAAUUAGAAGAAUCAUGCGUCCAACUGAUGUACCUGAUACUGGUCUCCUCUGUGAUCUUUUAUGGUCCGAUCCUGAUAAGGAUGUUCAGGGUUGGGGUGAAAACGAUAGAGGAGUUUCAUUCACAUUCGGUCCAGACGUCGUGUCGAAGUUCCUGAAUCGUCAUGAUAUGGAUCUCAUAUGCAGGGCACAUCAAGUGGUCGAGGAUGGCUAUGAAUUUUUCGCCAAGCGACAACUCGUCACACUUUUCUCUGCGCCAAACUACUGUGGCGAAUUUGAUAAUGCCGGCGGAAUGAUGAGUGUUGACGAAACGUUAAUGUGCAGUUUCCAGAUCUUGAAACCAUCAGAAAAGAAAGCAAAAUACCAAUAUGGAGGAAUGAAUACGGGUCAAGCAGGUAGACCAUCUACACCACAAAGGAAUCCAGCGAAAAAGAAAUGACAGCCUUCAACCGAACCUGCACAACAAACGCGAUUAUCCUUAAUGGAGGCUAUCAUGCUAGUUAUUAUAGUUGAGAAGACGAUCCGGAAACACGAAGACCGUACAUCAAAACUGAAAACUCAGAAGCAGAAAUCAAUCAAAUGCAACGGGCCUUUUCGUGGCAACGACACUACGAUUGGUUCUCAAAUUAUUAUGCUAUAUUUUACUCAAUGGUUGUUUAUUAUUUGAUUGCUAUUUAACGUCGAAUACCAUUUGACAUAGUUAUUUAUUGUUUGAUAUACGAGAGAGAUGCAGUGUAAAUUUUUGUUUUAGAAUUGGAGCCGAUAAAACGAAAGGUGUCCUUUCCAUCCUUCCCUCCCUGCGUUUCUCCCCUAAUCCUCCCAAACUGAAGCGCAAGAUUAGUUAUUGUCAAAGGAGCGGUUGUGAUUCCUUGAUAUAUGCGUUCUUUUCGUCCGAGAUUCAUAUAUUAUAUACAGAUAUUAUAUUUGUAAAGGGUUGGCCGGUCGCGAUUCGACGAUACUUUACUAAAUAAAUAAUUAAGACGCUCUCGUGGGAGGAGCUUGCGCGCGCGCGACUAUGGAUUGUUACAUCGUUCGAAUCGCCGAUGACGGAACACGCUAUGCAAUGGCAUCCUAGAGAUGUAAAACUUUCAGAUAAUAAAUAUGCAUAUUGUUGUACAAA